UUCAGUAAGAAUUUAAUUUUGGUUCCGAUUGAACGUUUUUCAGUAGUUUAAGACAUGCAAAUCGUUGUUUCCAAAGUCCUUAUAAAUUAAUAUUUUUAAUAUUAAUGGGAUCAGGGGAUAAGGUGUAGAGGUGAGUAUGUUAAAUAAGAUACCCUGUAGUCUUCUUAGCUAGGAGAUAUAAAGUAAAGGAAAAUUUCUGCUAUAGGAUUCUAUUUAAUUUGAUUAGGUAGUUGAUAGGGUAACGGCCUACCAAGCCAACGAUCAAAAGUCAAGUUUUAAAGAACCUCUGGCCACAUUGGGGAUGAAAUCUCCCAAGUAGUAAUUACACUACCAGCAGUCGAGAAUAUUAGUCAAUGCUCGUAAGAGUGAACUAGCUAACUGAAAUCAUAGAAUUUCUUCAAAUUCAUGAUGUCGUAAGGGAAAAUAAUGAUAAUACCUUACUAUGAGUGUCGUCCAAAUCUGGUGCCAGAAGACUCGGUAAGACCAGAGACGCAAACGUUAAUCAUCAUAAACAGGCGUAAAGGGUUUGUAGGCAGCUUUUAUAAGAUAAUAAAAAUCUAAAUUGAAAGCUAGAAUCAAAAAGAGGUUAUAGUGUAUAACGCCUAGAGGAGGGCUGAUAUCCAUAGAUCCUAGGCAGAAUACUCAGGGCGAAGGCCACUCUCCACUAAUGAUUGACGCUGAGAAACGAAGGUUAGGGUAGGAAAUAGGAUUGGUUAGAUACCCCGGUACUCCUUUCUGUAAACGAUGAAUGGUAGUCAUUAGUUUUAAUAAAUAACUAGAGGCGAAGUUAACACAAUAACCAUUCCGCCUUGUGAGUACUACUGCAAAGUAGAAAACAAAAAAAUUAGUCGGUCUCGAAGCAAACGGAGUGAAGCAUGUUAUUUAAUACGAUAAUCCGCGUAAAACCUUACCAGAACUUGCAUACAAACUAUAAAAUUUCCUACCUGAAAAGGUAAAGAAAAUAUUAGGAGUGUUUAAAAUUUAAAUACUUAAGUACAGGUGUUGCAUGGCUGUCUUCAGUUCGUGUUGUUAAACAUUAGGUUAAUUCCACUAACGAACGAAAUCCCUGUUAUUAAUUUAUACUUAAUAACUAAUAAAUCUGAUAGAGAUUUAGCGGGGGCUAAGACAAGUCGUUAUGGCCCUCAUGUUCUGGGCUAUAGACGUGCCACAAAAACUUUUACAAAGUGAUGCGAUACUUCCCAAUAGAAGUGGAGCUAAUCAUUAAAAAAAGUUAUUUAUAUUAAAAAUAAGCCGGAUUGUCUCCUGUAAUUCGGAGGCAUGAAGAAGGAAUUCCGAGUAAUCGUUGAUAAGUAGCGCAACGGUGAAGCUAGUUUCGUGAUGAACUAACUGUCUGUCGCUGGGAAGAAGCUUUUAGUGGAGGAAACUGGAGUAAGAUUAUGUUUUUUCAUAGUAACUCAUUGCUUUAAGUAAAGUAUUUUUAGUAUUAUGAUAAACUUAUUGGAUUUAGUGAAUUCAUUAAGGUAACAUCUCAAAAGUCAUAGCAUGGUAGCUGUACUGGAAAGUGCAGCUGGAUAAUAAUUAAU
rnacentral:rRNA from 2 species